GAGAAUGAGGAAGAGAGGGAACGGGGAUGAUGGGGAAAGAACCAGGAUCUGAAAGCAAGCUCAGAGGGAAGCUGCAGCCAAAUCAGCUGAGACCAUCUUUCCUGAGACCUACCGUCUAAACAGCAGGAAGGAGAUCUGUUCAACCCAGGGGGAUGGCUGAGCCCUUUGUUGUGAUGGCCACAUCAGUCCUUCUGCCUGAACGAGGGGUUGGUUUGAAGGGGCCUGGGUGGAAAGAGCUCAAGGAGAAAGCCAAUCAGAAGCCCGUCAAGAAGAGUUGGAGGUCAGAUUCUGGGCGGUGAUGAAAGAGAGCCAGAGGUAAGAUGCUCUGGAAGAGUUCAGCCCCUGGUGAUGAUUGAGAGGACGCCCAAUGUAGGAUGAAGCAGAGACACCCAAGGCAGCUGGGGGACGAGUUCUAGGAGGAGCCUUGUUUGUCUGGAGGCCUGAAGAAAGCAAACUAACCUAGAAGCUGGAAAAGCAGACUAGAAUCAGGGAGCACCCCUUCCCGGCUGGCUUCCUCUGUGCACUCCUCCCAGCCCAGGCUUGGCUUCUUACCUAGUCAAACACCCAAGAAGCUGUGGGCAGGAGGGUGAACUGGCCACCCUGGCCCCACCUCCCAUCUCCACUGGACUGAGGCCGCUGCGGAUUUGUGCCAAGACCAACAGGAAGAAUCCGUUUCAGGAAAUUCAAAGUCCUAGUGGAAAGGGUCUGCAAAAGCAACAGCACAAGGAACCGGGGGCUCACCUGCUCUCUGGGAUGCAGACCUAUCUGCUCCAGGAGCCACAGUUCAAUGGCCAGAUGCUCAAGGGCCUUCAUUCCGGGGAUGGUGGGAAAAUUGGGGUGGAGGCUCAAGGGGGCUUAGCGCACAGUGAGCGCACCGUGGACUUAGCGGAUGGUUUGUUGUUGGCCGUCCCACACUCCAAACAAUGUGAAUGUGUGCAGAGCAAAGAGCCUUCUCCUGACAGACACCCCAUAGUAGU